rnacentral:rRNA from 1 species
CGGCGUGGAUGAGGCAUGCAAGUCGUACGAAGUUUUCAGGCUUGCCUGAAAACUUAGUGGCGGAAGGGUUAGUAAUACAUGGAUAAUCUGCCGUCAACCUGGGAAUAACAGCGGGAAACUGCUGCUAAUACCGAAUGAGGUGCGCCUACAUAAGUAGGAGGCAUCAAAGCGGGGGACCUUCGGGCCUCGCGGUUGAUGAGGAGUUCAUGGGAUAUCAGCUAGUUGGUGAGGUAAAAGCUCACCAAGGCUAAGACGUCUAGGCGGGUUGAGAGGUUGACCGCCAACACUGGGACUGAGAACUGCCCAGACUCCUACGGGAGGCUGCAGUCGAGAAUCAUUCGCAAUGGGCGAAAGCCUGACGAUGCGACGCCGCGUGAGCGAAGAAGGCCUUCGGGUCGUAAAGCUCUUUCGCUUGGGAACAAGAGAAGGUGAAUAAUACUCGCCUAAUUUGAGGGUACCAGGUAAAGAAGCACCGGCUAACUCCGUGCCAGCAGCUGCGGUAAUACGGAGGGUGCAAGCAUUAAUCGGAGUUAUUGGGCGUAAAGAGUGCGUAGGCUGAAGCGUAAGUCAGAUGUGAAAGCCCGGGGCUUAACCCCGGAAUUGCAUUUGAAACUGCGUUUCUAGAGGGUAGGCGGAGAAAACGGAAUUCCACGUGUAGCGGUGAAAUGCGUAGAUAUGUGGAGGAACACCGGUGGCGAAGGCGGUUUUCUAGCUUAUACCUGACGCUGAGGCACGAAAGCGAGGGGAGCAAACAGGAUUAGAUACCCUGGUAGUCCUCGCCGUAAACGAUGCACACUAGGUGUAGCCGGACUCAACCCCGGUUUUGCCGUAGCUAACGCGUUAAGUGUGUCGCCUGAGGAGUACGCUCGCAAGGGUGAAACUCAAAAGAAUUGACGGGGACCCGCACAAGCAGUGGAGCAUGUGGUUUAAUUCGAUGCAACGCGAAGAACCUUACCUAGACUUGACAUAUAGAGGACGACGCUAGAAAUAGCGUUUCCCUUAGUGGCCUCUAUACAGGUGCUGCAUGGCUGUCGUCAGCUCGUGCCGUGAGGUGUUGGGUUAAGUCCCGCAACGAGCGCAACCCUUAUC